ACAUCCAUAUCAUGUCGAAACAUUGGUUUCCACAUGAUCAGCAAAGUUAAACCAUGUUGAGCUUGGUCAGUACCUAGAUGGGUGAUCACUUGCGAAUAUCAGGUGUUGUAAG